GUUGUUUUUGUUUUGUUUUGUUUUGUUUUGAGAUGAGGAGUCUCGCUCUGUCCCCCAGGCUGGAGUGCAGUGGUGCCAUCCAAUUUCUUUAUUCCAAGGAAAAGAACUAUGGAGAUGGUCCACUCAGCAUCUACUGGUGAGUUAUUCUCCUCAAAAUUUGGGUCAUUCAUGUCUCUGCUGCUACCAAUGCUAAUAUGCCCCCAUGAAACUUUGAGCCAUCUAGGAGUCCUUUCUCUGAUGGAUUGUGCCAAAGCUAAAGGACUUUCUUCAAUACAACUCAUGGUGAAAUCAGCUGUUGACAGAUGUAUAUGUUCUGGUGAAAUCUGUCAUUGGCAACUCAUGAUACUGAAAAAAUAACAAAAUAUUUCACCCCAAAUAUUUAUUUUUUGCCAUCUGAGGGCCUACAAAUAGAAGAAACUUUUGCAAAGGUAUCUUCUGUGGGGCAAAUUUGCAUUUGUAGAGAAAGUCUGCAUUGAUAUAGUCAGGCUUUCUCUAAGGCCCUCCCUUAUCCAGGUUCAGGAAGGAUUAACUAGGAGUCUGACAUUUUAAAAUAUUGGUGUAUAAGAAUGGUUGUGAUUUUUGUACAUUGAUUUUGUAUCCUGAGACUUUGCUGAAGUUGCUUAUCAGCUUAAGGGGAUUUUGGGCUGAGACAAUGGGGUUUUCUAGAUAUACUAUCAUGUCAUCUGCAAACAGGGAUAAUUUGACUUCCUCUUUUCCUAAUUGCAUACCCUUUAUUUCCUUCUCCU
rnacentral:lncRNA from 1 species